rnacentral:rRNA from 1 species
AUACAGAGGGUGCAAGCGUUAAUCGGAUUUACUGGACGUAAAGCGCGCGUAGGUGGCUAAUUAAGUCAAAUGUGAAAUCCCCGAGCUUAACUUGGGAAUUGCAUUCGAUACUGGUUAGCUAGAGUAUGGGAGAGGAUGGUAGAAUUCCGGGUGUAGCGGUGAAAUGCGUAGAGAUCUGGAGGAAUACCGAUGGCGAAGGCAGCCAUCUGGCCUAAUACUGACACUGAGGUGCGAAAGCAUGGGGAGCAAACAGGAUUAGAUACCCUGGUAGUCCAUGCCGUAAACGAUGUCUACUAGCCGUUGGGGCCCUUGAGGCUUUAGUGGCGCAGCUAACGCGAUAAGUAGACCGCCUGGGGAGUACGGUCGCAAGACUAAAACUCAAAUGAAUUGACGGGG